rnacentral:rRNA from 1 species
ACUAGUCGAAAGAUUAGCUAAUACCGCAUACGCCCUACGGGGGAAAGAGGGGGAUCGCAAGACCUCUUGUUAUUGGAGCGGCCGAUGGCUGAUUAGCUAGUUGGUGGGGUAAAGGCCUACCAAGGCGACGAUCAGUAGCGGGUCUUAGAGGACGAUCCGCCACACUGGAACUGAGACACGGUCCAGACUCCUACGGGAGGCAGCAGUGGGGAAUCUUGGACAAUGGGCGAAAGCCUGAUCCAGCAAUGCCGCGUGCGUGAAGAAGGCCUUCGGGUUGUAAAGCGCUUUUGUCUGGGAGCAAAUCCUUGUGGCUAAUACCCACCGGGGAUGAGAGUACCAGAAGAAUAAGGACCGGCUAACUACGUGCCAGCAGCCGCGGUAAUACGUAGGGUCCAAGCGUUAAUCGGAAUUACUGGGCGUAAAGCGUGCGCAGGUGGUUUGUUAAGCGCGAUGUGAAAUCCCCGAGCUCAACUUGGGAAUUGCAUUGCGAACUGACUGACUAGAGUACGGCAGAGGGGGGUGGAAUUCCACGUGUAGCAGUGAAAUGCGUAGAGAUGUGGAGGAACACCGAUGGCGAAGGCAACCCCCUGGGCUGAUACUGACACUCAUGCACGAGAGCGUGGGGAGCAAACAGGGAUUAGAUACCCUG